rnacentral:lncRNA from 1 species
CUUUGUUCCGUUGCUGGCAAGGAGCUGCGAUCCUUUGGAGGAGAAGUGGUGCUCUGAUUUUUAGAAUUUUCAGCUUUUCUGCUUGAUUUCUCCCCAUCUUUGUGAUUUUUAUCUACCUUUGGUCUUUGAUGUUGGUGACCUACAGAUCGGCCAAGUUCAAGUGAUUCUCCUGUCUCAGCCUCCUGAGUAGCUGGGAUUAUAGGCAUGUGCCACCACACCCAGUUCAGUUGGAAUAAUAAUGAUUCUCUACCUCCAGAACAGAGUGGUGCUGGCCUCAUCAGAGAUGGAAUGGCAACCUCUGUGCUAUACGAGCAGUGUAAGAGAUUUUCAAAGGUAAUUUUGCCAAAACCCUCAUGGAAGAUGGAGCUCCAUUAUACUCUCAGCUGGGGAAUUAUGCAAAGGGUUCCAUAAACAACAGGCAACAGAGCAAGACUCUGUCUCAAAAAAAAAAAAAAAAAAUAUAUAUAUAUAUAUAUAUAUUGCUGUCACUUAAGCAUGUUUGAGCUAGAGUGCUGGAGAUAAGUGUCCCAGCCAACAGCCAGCACCAACUGCCAGAUAUGUGAAACCACUGUAGACCAUCUGGCUCCAAAUGAAUAACCAGAUGACGACUUCAGUAGAAUGAGGCAUCCCAAGACCAGCAGAAGAACCCCCUAGCUGAGCUCAGCCCAACCUGCUGACCCAAAAAACUACGAGCAAGUGAAUGGUGGUUGUUUUCAGUCACUUAAGUUUUAAGGUGUUCUAUGAUGCAGAAACAAAUAACUGACACAAUUUAAAACUAUGUCUGCAACAUAUUAAAUGCUAUAUAAGUACCUGUUAAUACAUCUAUCUUUUUAAAAAUUUUUAUUUUAAAUUUUUCUGGGUACAUAGUAGGUGUACAUAUUUAUGGGAAUAAAUUCAUCUUUUUAUUCCCAGCACUUUGCAUAAGGUACAUAUCGACUCUCAAAAAUGAUUAUGAGUGAAUUUUUGUCUAGGAAAGGUUCGUGUUUGACUUCAGUUUCUGCUUUGGAAAAUAAGCAGCCAAAAUUAUUUUUCACUGGCAACCAAAGGAGACAAAUGGAAGAAUAGCUGACAUUACUCUGCAAUUUUUUUAAAAAAAGGUACAAUGUGUAAUAACCCUCUCUUUCCCUUUGCUCAAGUAUAUCCUCUUUUAUUCUUACACUUCUACGGGUGGAAUUCAUUAAAAUUACAGCAAAUAAAGGCAGUGUGAGAGGCCCCCUGAGGGCACAUCUGUAAUUCUUGUUAAAGUUAAUGAGAGUCUAGUACACAGCUUCAAGCAAAAGAGAGGCCAAAGGGGGAAACAAAUAUGGGGAAAAGACUUUGAGCCUGAAUUCCAGGCCCCACUAUUCGAAGUGGUAGGUUUCACGGCUGACAUUGAAAAUAAACAUUCAACGGCUACCCUCUUUUGAUAUUCCACUGCCUCAGGCUCCCAAUGUGAGGCUCCAAUCAGAGAGGUGGAGCAACAAAAAGCACAUUUAACUUAACAGAAAAAAAUUGAAAGCAGGAAGAAUUAAGCAUCCACAGGGCCGGGGCUGUGGAGUGCCCUGCUGGGAACUGGACUGGAUCCUUGAGCAAUGAGGAGUAAUCCACAACAAAAUGCGGUCUGUGUUUUAGAAAAAUAAUUACAGCACACAGAGGAGAGACUGGGGGGUGAAGAAACUGGGAACGCACAGACCUGCUGGAAAGCUCUUAUGAAGA